AAGUAAGAAGCGAUUGAUUGCAGCCAGUUUCGACCUGGUCUUAGAUGGGUUUCAUCCUUACUUA
rnacentral:tRNA from 1 species